rnacentral:piRNA from 1 species
UUAUGGUUGACUAUCUUUAAGAGGCUAAGU